CUACGGGUGGCUCCAGUGGGGAAUAUUGCACAAUGGAGGAAACUCUGAUGCAGCGACGCCGCGUGAGUGAAGAAGUAUUUCGGUAUGUAAAGCUCUAUCAGCAGGGAAGAUAGUGACGGUACCUGACUAAGAAGCACCGGCUAAAUACGUGCCAGCAGCCGCGGUAAUACGUAUGGUGCAAGCGUUAUCCGGAUUUACUGGGUGUAAAGGGAGUGUAGGUGGCAUGGCAAGUCAGAAGUGAAAGCCCAGGGCUCAACCCUGGGACUGCUUUUGAAACUGCCGAGCUAGAGUGCAGGAGAGGUAAGUGGAAUUCCUAGUGUAGCGGUGAAAUGCGUAGAUAUUAGGAGGAACACCAGCGGCGAAGGCGGCUUACUGGACUGUAACUGACACUGAGGCUCGAAAGCGUGGGGAGCAAACAGGAUUAGAUACCCGCGUAGUC
rnacentral:rRNA from 1 species